rnacentral:rRNA from 1 species
UUGAUCAUGGCUCAGAUUGAACGCUGGCGUGCAAGCCUAACACAUGCAAGUCGAGCGAGGUUUUCGGACCUAGCGGCGGACGGGUGAGUAAUGCGUAGUGAAGCUGCCCGAUAGAGGGGGAUACCAGUUGGAAACGACUGUUAAUACCGCAUAAUGUCUACGGACCAAAGUGUGGGACCUUCGGGCCACAUGCUAUCGGAUGCGCCUACGUGGGAUUAGCUAGUUGGUGGGGUAAUGGCUCACCAAGGCGACGAUCCCUAGCUGGUUUGAGAGGAUGAUCAGCCACACUGGGACUGAGACACGGCCCAGACUCCUACGGGAGGCAGCAGUGGGGAAUAUUGGACAAUGGGCGCAAGCCUGAUCCAGCCAUGCCGCGUGUGUGAAGAAGGCCUUAGGGUUGUAAAGCACUUUCAGUUGGGGGAGGAAGGGUGUUGUGUUAAUAGCACAGGCAUUUUGACGUAUACCCACAGAAAGAAAGCACCGGCUAAGCUCCCGGUGACCAGACAGCCGGACGGUAAUACGGAAGGGUGCAAGCGUAAAUCGGAAUUACUGGGGCGUAAAAGCGC